AGUGAACGCUGGCGGUAGGCCUAACACAUGCAAGUCGAACGAGUGGCGGACGGGCGAGGAAUACAUCGGAAUCUACUCUGCCGAGGGGGAUAACGGAGGGAAACUUACGCUAAUACCGCACACGACUGAAUCAGCCGACGUCGGAUUAGCUAGUUGGCGGGGUAAAGGCCCCCCAAGGCGACGAUCCGCAGCUGGUCUGAGAGGAUGAUCAGCCAACCUGGGACUAAGACACGGUCCAGACUCCUACGGGAGGCAGCAGUAGGGAAUAUUGGGCAAUGGGCGGAAGCCUGAUCCAGCCAUGCCGCGUGAGUGAAGAAGGCCUUCGGGUUGUAAAGCCCUUUUGUUGGGAAAGCGGUACCCAAAGAGUAAGCACCGGCUAACUUCGUGCCAGCCGCCGCGGUAAUAC
rnacentral:rRNA from 1 species